UCACUUUGGCAGCAUAUGCACUAGACUUGACCUGAUAAGAGACUUGUAUGACCCUUACACAAGGAUGACAGGCAAAUUCAUGAAACAUUCCAGAUUUUU
rnacentral:snRNA from 1 species